rnacentral:rRNA from 1 species
GACGGAGGAUGCAAGUGUUAUCCGGAAUCACUGGGCGUAAAGCGUCUGUAGGUGGUUUAAUAAAGUCAACUGUUAAAUCUUGAGGCUCAACCUCAAAAUCGCAGUCGAAACUAUUAGGCUAGAGUAUAGUAGGGGUAAAGGGAAUUUCCAGUGGAGCGGUGAAAUGCGUAGAGAUUGGAAAGAACACCGAUGGCGAAGGCACUUUACUGGGCUAUUACUAACACUCAGAGACGGAAAGCUAGGGUAGCAAAUGGG